AGUGAACGCUGGCGGUAGGCCUAACACAUGCAAGUCGAACGGCAGCACAGUAAGAGCUUGCUCUUACGGGUGGCGAGUGGCGGACGGGUGAGGAAUACAUCGGAAUCUACUUUUUCGUGGGGGAUAACGUAGGGAAACUUACGCUAAUACCGCAUACGGCCUACGGGUGAAAUCAGGGGAUCUUCGGACCUUGCGCGAUUGAAUGAGCCGAUGUCGGAUUAGCUAGUUGGCGGGGUAAAGGCCCACCAAGGCGACGAUCCGUAGCUGGUCUGAGAGGAUGAGCAGCCACACUGGAACUGAGACACGGUCCAGACUCCUACGGGAGGCAGCAGUGGGGAAUAUUGGACAAUGGGCGCAAGCCUGAUCCAGCCAUACCGCGUGGGUGAAGAAGGCCUUCGGGUUGUAAAGCCCUUUUGUUGGGAAAGAAAAGCAGCAGGUUAAUACCCCGCUGUUCUGACGGUACCCAAAGAAUAAGCACCGGCUAACUUCGUG
rnacentral:rRNA from 1 species